CGGGGGGAGCAAGCGUUGUUCGGAUUUACUGGGCGUAAAGGGCGCGUAGGCGGCGCAACAAGUCACUUGUGAAAUCUCCGGGCUUAACCCGGAGCGGCCAAGUGAUACUGUCGUGCUAGAGUGCGGAAGGGGCUACUGGAAUUCUCGGUGUAGCGGUGAAAUGCGUAGAUAUCGAGAGGAACACCUGCGGCGAAGGCGGGUAGCUGGGCCGACACUGACGCUGAGGCGCGAAAGCCAGGGGAGCGAACGGGAUUAGAUACCCCGGUAGUCCUGGCCUUAAACGAUGGAUGCUUGGUGUCCGGGGUUACCUAGUCCCCGGGUGCCGGCGCUAACGCAUUAAGCAUCCCGCCUGGGGAGUACGGUCGCAAGACUG
rnacentral:rRNA from 1 species